rnacentral:rRNA from 1 species
GACGAACCACACAAACGUUAUUCGGAAUCACUGGGCUUAAAGGGUGCGUAGGCUGCGCAGUAAGUUGGGUGUGAAAUCCCUCGGCUCAACCGAGGAACUGCGCCCAAAACUACUGUGCUCGAGGGAGAUAGAGGUGAGCGGAACUUAGGGUGGAGCGGUGAAAUGCGUUGAUAUCCUAAGGAACACCCGUGGCGAAAGCGGCUCACUGGAUCUCUUCUGACGCUGAGGCACGAAAGCUAGGGUAGCGAACGGG